rnacentral:rRNA from 1 species
UACGAAGGGGGCUAGCGUUGCUCGGAAUUACUGGGCGUAAAGGGAGCGUAGGCGGACAGUUAAGUCAGUGGUGAAAGCCCAGAGCUCAACUCUGGAAUUGCCUUUGAUACUGAUUGUCUUGAGUAUGGGAGAGGUAUGCGGAACUCCGAGUGUAGAGGUGAAAUUCGUAGAUAUUCGGAAGAACACCAGUGGCGAAGGCGGCUCACUGGCCCGGUACUGACGCUGAGGCGCGAAAGCGUGGGGAGCAAACAGG